AAAAAUGAUUGAAAUGCGCUGCUAAUUCAGCUCAUGUGAACGAUAGCAAUCCAACACACCACGCCCUGGGAAAUGUCAGUGCUGAAUUCAAAAUCUCUUCCUGUGUAAGAUUAUCCUCGAGUGCAAUGUAAUAGUUGGGUGAUAGAAAAUUUUUGGGUAAAGAAUGAAGUGUUGAUUGUAAAGAAGACAUAUUCUCCUUGUGGGACAGAGAGCAUGUGAGUGAAAGCGACAGUGGGAGAGGGUUAGGGAUUCGAAAAUUGGGGGAAAGGGUUUUUAUCCAUA
rnacentral:misc_RNA from 1 species